UACGAGGGGUGCAAGCGUUACUCGGAAUUACUGGGCGUAAAGCGUGCGUAGGCGGUUCGUUAAGUCUGAUGUGAAAGCCCUGGGCUCAACCUGGGAAUGGCAUUGGAAACUGGCGACCUAGAGUGCGGUAGAGGGUAGUGGAAUUCCCGGUGUAGCAGUGAAAUGCGUAGAGAUCGGGAGGAACAUCCGUGGCGAAGGCGACUACCUGGACCAGCACUGACACUGAGGCACGAAAGCGUGGGGAGCAAACAGG
rnacentral:rRNA from 1 species